rnacentral:rRNA from 1 species
UGUUUUUUGAAUAAUUAUAAAAAAUAAAUUUCCUGCCCAAUGUAUUAUAAAUGGCUGCGGUAUCCUAACCGUACAAAGGUAGCAUAAUAAAUUGCCCAUUAAUUGUGGGAUAGAAUGAACGGAAUAAUGAGAAAGAAACUAUCCCAAUUAUAUAAAAGAAAACUAACAUUCUAGUGAAGAGGCUAAAAUAAAAUUAUAAGACAAGAAGACCCUACAGAGCUUAAACUAUAAUACUAAACUAGUAUAUCCAUUUAGGUUGGGGCGACCACAAAUAUAAACAUUUCAAAUUCAAAGAUAAACAAAUCUAAGAUAAAGACCCUAAAAAGAUCACAGAACAAAGUUACCUUAGGGAUAACAGGCUAAUCCUACUAAAGAGUCCAUAUCUACAGUAGGGAUUGGCACCUCGAUGUUGGCUUAAAAAAUCUUUAUAAACGCAACAGUUAUAAAAGUAGGUUUGUUCAACCUAUAAUAUUUU